GUUAUAUGGUCAAGUGACGAAGCGUGCACGGUGGAUGCCUUGGCAGCCAGAGGCGAUGAAGGACGUUGUAGCCUGCGAUAAGCUCCGGUUAGGUGGCAAACAACUGUUUGACCCGGAGAUUUCCGAAUGGGGAAACCCACCUGUCAUAAGGCAGGUAUCACAUACUGAAUCCAUAGGUAUGUGAAGCGAACGAGGGGAACUGAAACAUCUAAGUACCCUUAGGAACAGAAAUCAAUUGAGAUUCCGUCAGUAGCGGCGAGCGAACGCGGAUUAGCCCUUAAGUCUGUGAAAGAUUAGGAGAACGGUCUGGGAAGGCCGGCCAUAGUGGGUGAUAGCCCCGUAUCCGAAAAUCUGAUCAGGUGAAAUCGAGUAGGUCGGAGCACGUGAAACUCUGACUGAACAUGGGGGGACCAUCCUCCAAGGCUAAAUACUCCUGGCUGACCGAUAGUGAACCAGUACCGUGAGGGAAAGGCGAAAAGAACCCCGGAGAGGGGAGUGAAAUAGAACCUGAAACCGUAUGCGUACAAGCAGUGGGAGCAUCUUCGGAUGUGACUGCGUACCUUUUGUAUAAUGGGUCAGCGACUUACUUUCAGUGGCAAGGUUAACCGCAUAGGGGAGCCGUAGGGAAACCGAGUCUGAAUAGGGCGACUUAGUCGCUGGGAGUAGACCCGAAACCGGGCGAUCUAUCCAUGGCCAGGUUGAAGGUGGGGUAAUUCCCACUGGAGGACCGAACCGGGAUCUGUUGAAAAAGAUUCGGAUGAGCUGUGGAUAGGAGUGAAAGGCUAAUCAAGCCCGGAGAUAGCUGGUUCUCCUCGAAAGCUAUUUAGGUAGCGCCUCGUGUCUCACUCCUGGGGGUAGAGCACUGUUAUGGCUAGGGGGUCAUCCCGACUUACCAAACCAUUGCAAACUCCGAAUACCAGGAAGUGCAAUCACGGGAGACACACGGCGGGUGCUAACGUCCGUCGUGGAGAGGGAAACAACCCAGACCGCCAGCUAAGGCCCCAAAAUCGUGGCUCAGUGGGAAACGAUGUGGGAAGGCAUAGACAGCUAGGAGGUUGGCUUAGAAGCAGCCACCCUUUAAAGAAAGCGUAAUAGCUCACUAGUCGAGUCGGCCUGCGCGGAAGAUUCAACGGGGCUUAAGUCACGUGCCGAAGCUGCGGAUGCAUACUUUGUAUGCAUGGUAGAGGAGCGUUCCGUACGCCUGCGAAGGUGAACUGUAAGGUUUGCUGGAGGUAUCGGAAGUGCGAAUGCUGACAUGAGUAACGAUAAGACGGGUGAAAAACCCGUCCGCCGAAAGCCCAAGGUUUCCUGCUCUACGCUAAUCGGAGCAGGGUGAGUCGGCCCCUAAGGCGAGGCAGAAAUGCGUAGUCGAUGGGAAUCCGGUCAAUAUUCCGGAACCGCUUAUUACUGCGAUGGGGGGACGGAGAAGGCUAGGCAAGCCGGCAGUUGGUGUCCGGUUCAAGCCAGUAGGGAGUGGACUUAGGCAAAUCCGGGUCCACAAUCCUGAGAGGUGAUGACGAGUUCCUACGGGAACGAAGUUGUUGAUGCCAUGCUUCCAGGAAAAGCCUCUAAGCUUCAGGUAGUAAGCGACCGUACUCCAAACCGACACAGGUGGGCAGGGUGAGAAUCCCAAGGCGCUUGAGAGAACCCGGGUGAAGGAACUAGGCAAAAUGGUACCGUAACUUCGGGAGAAGGUACGCCUCUGACGGUGAUGAAAUUUACUUUUUGAGCUGUUGGGGGCCGCAGAGACCAGGUGGCUGCGACUGUUUAUUAAAAACACAGCACUCUGCAAACACGAAAGUGGACGUAUAGGGUGUGACGCCUGCCCGGUGCCGGAAGGUUAAUUGAUGGGGUUAGCUUCGGCGAAGCUCUUGAUCGAAGCCCCGGUAAACGGCGGCCGUAACUAUAACGGUCCUAAGGUAGCGAAAUUCCUUGUCGGGUAAGUUCCGACCUGCACGAAUGGCGUAACGAUGGCCACACUGUCUCCACCCGGGACUCAGUGAAAUUGAACUCGCUGUGAAGAUGCAGUGUACCCGCGGCUAGACGGAAAGACCCCGUGAACCUUUACUACAGCUUCACGCUGAACUUUGAACAAACUUGUGUAGGAUAGGUGGGAGGCUUUGAAGCCGGGACGCCAGUUCCGGUGGAGCCAACCUUGAAAUACCACCCUGGUUUGUUUGAAGUUCUAACUUAGGUCCGUGAUCCGGAUCGAGGACAGCGUGUGGUGGGUAGUUUGACUGGGGCGGUCUCCUCCCAAAGAGUAACGGAGGAGCGCGAAGGUACCCUAAGCGCGGUCGGAAAUCGCGCGUUUAGUGCAAAGGCAUAAGGGUGCUUGACUGCGAGACAGACACGUCGAGCAGGUGCGAAAGCAGGUCUUAGUGAUCCGGUGGUUCUUCGUGGUAGGGCCAUCGCUCAACGGAUAAAAGGUACUCCGGGGAUAACAGGCUGAUACCGCCCAAGAGUUCACAUCGACGGCGGUGUUUGGCACCUCGAUGUCGGCUCAUCACAUCCUGGGGCUGAAGCCGGUCCCAAGGGUAUGGCUGUUCGCCAUUUAAAGUGGUACGCGAGCUGGGUUUAGAACGUCGUGAGACAGUUCGGUCCCUAUCUGCCGUGGGCGUUUGAGACUUGAGAGGAGCUGUCCUUAGUACGAGAGGACCGGGAUGGACGUAUCUCUGGUGUUCCGGUUGUCACGCCAGUGGCAUUGCCGGGUAGCUAUAUACGGACGGGAUAACCGCUGAAAGCAUCUAAGCGGGAAGCCCCCCUCAAGAUUAGGUCUCACUGGAGCCUUGAGCUCCCUGAAGGGCCCUUGAAGACUACAAGGUUGAUAGGCUGGAUGUGGAAGUGUGGUAACGCAUGAAGCUAACCAGUACUAAUUGCCCGUGAGGCUUGACCAUAUAACACCCAAGCAGUUGGG
rnacentral:rRNA from 1 species